UACGUCUUAAUAUUAUUAGCAUGACAUAGUUUAUAAGAAAAGUUAAAUAUUAAAAUUAUAAAAAAUGAAAAGGCAGCUUACAAUUUCUUUUUCACUAUUUCAACGUUGUAAAACAAGAUACUGCAGACGACAAAAUACAAAAUAAGCGUAAUGGCGUAACCUCGAGUCGACCAAGUUGGAAACCCAGGAACUGAAGGAUCAAAGCCCACGAUUUUCCCUCUGCUAUGCUGACUCAUGGAGCCAUUGUUGCUCAUCACAAACAAGUGACUCAUACUCUUGCCAACGUCAGGCUGACUUUUCAGCAAAGAGUGGCAGAGAAGAAACUAGAAUCCAUUAUGAACUGUGAUGUACUAGACUUAUCUGAUGCUGUGAUUUGGCAAGGUAAAACUUGUUGAGUGAGGGUUGUAGUUUGGAGGAUAGUGAGUUUGGUCGCUUGGUUAAUGAGGUUGAUGCUCUUAGAACCUCGUCUUUUGGUUUCAAUCCAAAUCAAACUGGAAAAGUUACCUUAUUGUUAUACUUACACAAAUUCUUCAUUUGUGUGUAGAUAAAUGUUUUAUUAUGAA